rnacentral:rRNA from 1 species
UACACACCGCCCGUCACGCCAUGGAAGUCGGUAGCACCCGAAGUCGUCGGCCAAACCCGCAAGGGUGGAGACGCCUAAGGUGAGAUCGAUGACUGGGGCG